rnacentral:rRNA from 1 species
AUGAAUGGAUACUCUGAGAUAGAACGAGAAAAAGCAAAUUUGAUUAAUGCUACUUCUAUUAGUUUGGAACAAUUGGAAAAGUCUAAAAACGAAACCCUUUAUUUUGAAAAACAAAGGGCAAUGAAUCAGGUCCGACAGCGGGUUUUCCAACAGGCCGUACAAGGAGCUCUAGGAAAAAAAAUUUUUGUUUGGUAUACUGUGUGCUAA